rnacentral:rRNA from 1 species
ACAUGCAGUCGAGCGGCCUGAGGAGCUUGUUCCGACGGUUAGCGGCGGACGGGUGAGUAACACGUGGGCAACCUGCCUGUAAGACUGGGAUAACUCCGGGAAACCGGGGCUAAUACCGGAUAAUUCAUUCUCUCUCAUGAGGGAGUGCUGAAAGACGGUUUCGGCUGUCACUUACAGAUGGGCCCGCGGCGCAUUAGCUAGUUGGUGAGGUAACGGCUCACCAAGGCCACGAUGCGUAGCCGACCUGAGAGGGUGAUCGGCCACACUGGGACUGAGACACGGCCCAGACUCCUACGGGAGGCAGCAGUAGGGAAUCUUCCGCAAUGGACGAAAGUCUGACGGAGCAACGCCGCGUGAGCGAAGAAGGCCUUCGGGUCGUAAAGCUCUGUUGUCA